AGUCGUAACAAGGUUUCCGUAGGUGAACCUGCGGAAGGAUCAUUAAAGUUUGCUUAAUUGCAUUACACAUGUUUUUUUAGAGAACUUGCUUGCAAGAACACUAAUAAUUUACUUAGUCAACAAAUAAAAAUAUCAAAACUUUCAACAACGGAUCUCUUGGUUCUCGCAUCGAUGAAGAACGCAGCGAAAUGCGAUACGUAAUAUGAAUUGCAGAUUUUCGUGAAUCAUCGAAUCUUUGAACGCACAUUGCGCCCUGUGGUAUUCCACAGGGCAUGCCUGUUUGAGCGUCAUUUCUCCCUCAAACCUCUGGUUUGGCGUUGAGUGAUACUCGGUUUACUUGAAAAACAUGAAAAGCAUAACUAUUAGGUUUUACCAACUCGUUAUACUAAUCUACAAGUUUGACCUCAAAUCAGGUAGGACUACCCGCUGAACUUAAGCAUAUCAAUAA
rnacentral:misc_RNA from 1 species